CAGACAACUAGGAGGUUGGCUCAGAAGCAGCCAUCCUUUAAAGAGUGCGUAACAGCUCACUAGUCGAAUGACUCUGCGCCGAUAAUUUACCGGGGCUAAGCAUACUACCGAAGCUAUGGAUCCCAAGGGAUGGUAGGGGAGCGUUCCAUGAACGGAGAAGUACGACCGAAAGGACGUGUGGAGAUCAUGGAAGAGAGAAUGCCGGUGUGAGUAGCGGAACGUGGGUGAGAAUCCCACGCACCGAAAACCCAAGGUUUCCAGAGGAAGGUUCGUCCGCUCUGGGUAAGUCGGGACCUAAGGCGAGGCCGAAAGGCGUAGUCGAUGGACAACAGGUAGAGAUUCCUGUACCCGUAUAUAUGUGAAGGAAUGACGGAGAGAGGAAGCUGCAGCCAGCGGCUGGAAGAGCUGGUGCAAGCGAGAUAUCGGGAUGGCAGGCAAAUCCACCAUCCGAAACGAGAAGGCGUGAAGCGUACGGAAAGCUACGGCGAGUACGGAAGGCAGUGGAGGAACUUCCAAGAAAAGUUUCUAACGUUAAGUAUAUAUGGCCCGUACCGAAAAUGGACACACAUGGGUGAGGAGAGAAUCCUAAGGUGAGCGAGAGAACUAUAGCUAAGGAACUCUGCAAAAUGACUCCGUAACUUAGGGAGAAGGAGUGCUCAUAGAGAUAUGAGCCGCAGUGAAACGGCCCAAGCGACUGUUUACCAAAAACACAGCUCUCUGCUAAGCCGCAAGGCGAAGUAUAGGGGGUGACGCCUGCCCGGUGCUGGAAGGUUAAGGGGAGGGGUUAACGCAAGUGAAGCCCUGAACUGAAGCCCCAGUAAACGGCGGCCGUAACUAUAACGGUCCUAAGGUAGCGAAAUUCCUUGUCAGGUAAGUUCUGACCCGCACGAAAGGCGUAACGAUUUGGGCGCUGUCUCAGCUGUAGACUCGGUGAAGUCUUAGUACCUGUGAAGAUGCAGGUUACCCGCGACUAGACGGAAAGACCCCAUGGAGCUUCACUGCAGGUUGAUAUUGGGAUUUGAUGCAGCAUGUACAGGAUAGGUAGGAGGCAAAGAGAUGGAUACGCCAGUAUUCAAGGAGCCGCUGUUGGGAUACUACCCCUGUUGUAUUGGAUUUCUAACCGGACGACGUAGAGCCGUUGACGGGACAGUGUCAGUCGGGCAGUUUGACUGGGGCGGUCGCCUCCCAAAGAGUAACGGAGGCGCCCAAAGAUACCCUCAGCUUGGAUGGAAACCAAGCGCAGAGUGCAAAGGCAAAAGGGUGUUUGACUGCGAGACCCACAAGUCGAGCAGGGACGAAAGUCGGGCUUAGUGAUCCGGCGGUGCUGAAUGGAAAGGCCGUCGCUCAACGGAUAAAAGCUACCCUGGGGAUAACAGGCUGAUCUCCCCCAAGAGUUCACAUCGACGGGGAGGUUUGGCACCUCGAUGUCGGCUCAUCGCAUCCUGGAGCUGAAGUCGGUUCCAAGGGUUGGGCUGUUCGCCCAUUAAAGCGGUACGCGAGCUGGGUUCAGAACGUCGUGAGACAGUUCGGUCCCUAUCUGUCGUGGGCG
rnacentral:rRNA from 1 species